UGCUUUGUACACGUAUUGAUCAGUUUGUCCAAGUUUCCACGUGUAGUGAUCAAUUACCAUACACCUAUCGGGCUUGAUGUCUUUCUAUGGUAAACCGAAGGUAGCUAUUUUCUUCUUGCUUUACCGAUUCCGAUCCCGGCCUCGACCUCCAUCAAGGUCAACACCCCCUGUUCGCUGAUAUCAGGCUUAUCCAUCGAUCGCAAUCAACAUCAGCAGAAUCUUGAUUCUGUUUGCGCUGCAAUUUCACAUCUAGGUGGUUAAUUACAACAACUUCAAGUGAGUGCCCACAAACAUUGAGUUAUCUCUACUGAUUUUGCUGGUUUUCUGUUAAGGGAAAGAGAUACGUUGAGUCCGCAACUUUGAUCGUGACUCUUUGACAGCCCAUUAGCUUUGUCUCCGUCGAUAGUGCGAAGUUUUCAGAACUGGAAGGGGUGCUUUAUCUGCUUUCAACGUGCUGGCAACAGUGGCUUGGUUUUACUGGUAGUUGAUCGUUUGGCGGUAAACAGUGAUUAGUUCUGUACCUGCCUGGGAUUUAAGUGGAGAAACAGAGGAGGGACUGUGUUAUAGUCACUGAGCUUGCGAAGCCGCUGAUUGCCUACUGCAUGUAAGAUUAGCCCAAUUUAAUUAUUUUUGUUCAAUUUUGUGAUUGUUUACUUCUGCACAGAUCAAAUUUUUGGAGAAAAGAUAAUCUGUGUGAUUGAAUUCCGAUGCUAACAAUGAAAACUCAUUAGACAUGACUAAAAAUGGGUGAAGGUCAUAUUUUCAAGCUUUCCUUGGCUUUUCAGUUCAGAUAUUAUUGGAGUGGUGUUGUUCUGUUUUGACUGUGAUCAGACAUUACUAUUUUGUUUUUUUUUCAAAACUUCAUUUGCUUUUGUGUUGUGGUUAGUUACUUUGAAGGAGAUGUGUUUCUGCAGAUUUAUUAAUGUCAUAUCUAACUAUUAACAAA